GAGGUCAAGCAAAUCCCAUAAAGUUGUUCUCAGUUCGGAUUGUAGUCUGCAACUCGACUACAUGAAGCUGGAAUCGCUAGUAAUCGUAGAUCAGCAUGCUACGGUGAAUACGUUCCCGGGUCUUGUACACACCGCCCGUCACACCACGAGAGUUUGUAACACCCGAAGCCGGUGGAGUAACCUUUGAGGAGCUAGCCGUCGAAGGUGGGACAAAUGAUUGGGGUGAAGUCGUAACAAGGUAGCCGUAUCGGAAGGUGCGGCUGGAUCACCUCCUUUCUAAGGA
rnacentral:rRNA from 1 species